rnacentral:rRNA from 2 species
UGUGACCUCAAAUCAGGUAGGACUACCCGCUGAACUUAAGCAUAUCAAUAAGCGGAGGAAAAGAAACUAACAAGGAUUCCCCUAGUAACUGCGAGUGAAGCGGGAAAAGCUCAAAUUUAAAAUCUGGCGGUCUUUGGCUGUCCGAGUUGUAAUCUAGAGAAGUGUUAUCCGCGCUGGACCGUGUACAAGUCUCCUGGAAUGGAGCAUCAUAGAGGGUGAGAAUCCCGUCUUUGACAUGGACUGCCAGGGCUUUGUGAUGCGCUCUCAAAGAGUCGAGUUGUUUGGGAAUGCAGCUCAAAAUGGGUGGUAAAUUCCAUCUAAAGCUAAAUAUUGGCGAGAGACCGAUAGCGAACAAGUACCGUGAGGGAAAGAUGAAAAGAACUUUGGAAAGAGAGUUAAACAGUACGUGAAAUUGCUGAAAGGGAAACGCUUGAAGUCAGUCGCGUCGUCCAGGGAUCAACCUUGCUUUUGCUUGGUGCACUUUCUGGUUCGAUGGGUCAGCAUCAAUUUUGACUGUUGGAAAAAGGUCAAGGGAAUGUGGCAUCUUUGGAUGUGUUUAUAGCCCUUGGUCACAUACAAUGGUUGGGAUUGAGGAACUCAGCACGCCGCAAGGCCGGG